rnacentral:rRNA from 1 species
AUUGAACGCUGGCGGCAUGCUUUACACAUGCAAGUCGAACGGUGACAGGCCGCAAGGUGCUGACGAGUGGCGAACGGGUGAGUAAUGCAUCGGAACGUGCCCAGUCGUGGGGGAUAACUACUCGAAAGAGUAGCUAAUACCGCAUACGAUCUAUGGAUGAAAGCGGGGGACCGUAAGGCCUCGCGCGAUUGGAGCGGCCGAUGUCAGAUUAGGUAGUUGGUGGGGUAAAGGCUCACCAAGCCAACGAUCUGUAGCUGGUCUGAGAGGACAACCAGCCACACUGGGACUGAGACACGGCCCAGACUCCUACGGGAGGCAGCAGUGGGGAAUUUUGGACAAUGGGCGCAAGCCUGAUCCAGCAAUGCCGCGUGCAGGAAGAAGGCCUUCGGGUUGUAAACUGCUUUUGUACGGAACGAAACGGCUCUGGUUAAUACCCGGGGCUAAUGACGGUACCGUAAGAAUAAGCACCGGCUAACUACGUG